rnacentral:snRNA from 1 species
UUCCCUUUGCCAUCUUGGCUUCAAUCAAAGUGUAGUGUCUGUUCUAUCGUGA